rnacentral:rRNA from 1 species
AGAUUGAACGCUGGCGGCAUGCUUUACACAUGCAAGUCGAACGGCAGCACGGGGGCAACCCUGGUGGCGAGUGGCGAACGGGUGGAUAAUGCAUCGGAACGUAUCUUCAAGUGGGGGAUAACGCACCGAAAGGUGUGCUAAUACCGCAUAAUCUCUACGGAGAAAAGCAGGGGAUCGCAAGACCUUGCGCUUUUGGAGCGGCCGAUGUCUGAUUAGCUAGUUGGUGAGGUAAAGGCUUACCAAGGCUUCGAUCAGUAGCUGGUCUGAGAGGACGACCAGCCACACUGGGACUGAGACACGGCCCAGACUCCUACGGGAGGCAGCAGUGGGGAAUUUUGGACAAUGGGGGAAACCCUGAUCCAGCCAUGCCGCGUGAGUGAAGAAGGCCUUCGGGUUGUAAAGCUCUUUCAGCCGGAACGAAACGGUCACGGCUAAUACCCGUGAUCACUGACGGUACCGGAAGAAGAAA